rnacentral:lncRNA from 1 species
UUUCUAAUCCUACAUGAUUGGAAUUUCAUAAUCCUAAUCCUACAUGAUUCAACAAGACAGCUUCACAAACAUCAAUACACUACAUCUGUGUUGCAAACUGAAGAAAAAACUAUAUGGUCUCAAAUCUCGAUGAAGUAGUCGAAAGCAUGUUUGAGUACCACGCGUUCUCAGGUAGUAGUCUUUUAAAAACAUAAAUGUUUCCACGUUAUUGCCAACUCAAAGCAGUAUUCAAAGUCAUGAGAGAGGUGUUCGUUUAUCCUCAGAUGGUGCCCUAUUUUCAAUUAUCACAGUUGGCAUUGUGAUAACGUUGUCAAUGUGUUUAUUAUGGAGGAAAGGAAAAACAUGUUGCCAAGGUACUUUGUCAAUUAUCAACAUCUGCCCUAUAGUGGAGACCCAAGUGAAAAAGUUCAACCUCCUUAUCUUGAAGUCCA